UCAAGAAUUAUUGUUUGUUACAUGGCAGCGAAUCAAUGUGUAGUUUUUGUAAAUUACCUAUAAAUAAUAAUUGAUUCCAGCUAAUGAAUCAUGAUAAGAUGAGGUUUACAUAAGACAAUUUUUAAUUAUUUUUCUGUUGAUGGUUUUAAUAAGACAUAUAUUAAUAGAGAUCGACACAAUUUACUCCAGAUAGGUUUGCUGAAUAAUUGUCGGUGUAUGUUCUGAUUUAGUAUUUUAUUUAUUGUGCGUGAAUUAUAUCAAUCAAUAGAAAUAUAGCAAACCUGUGCAAAUGUUCGUUUGUUGCAUAGUAAUCUGCUAUUAAGACGUUGAUAAUUAGUUAUAUACUAAUCUGAUUUCUGAAUAGUGGUGAAUGAAGUGAAAAUAUUUGAAUCGCCCUAAGUUUUAUGUGCUCAUAUACUACGUGAUUAUAUGUGUAUUUGUUUUUAUAAGUAAAAUGGUGAAAUUACAACCUCUGGAAUUUAUCGAUUGUUUGAUUGACAGUCCAAAUUUUCGUGAGAAUCUUAACAAACAUGAGAAAGAGCUUGAUAAAACGAGUCAACAAAUAAAACGAAUCAUCAAGGAAAUCAAAGAUUUGUUAGCAGCAGCUAAAAGCCUUUCUCGUGCGCAGCGAACAUUAUCCAGAAGUUUGAAAGAAUUUAAUUUUGAAUGUAUUGGCUCAACACAGACAGAUGAUGAACAAGUAAUAGCUGACAGUUUGAAACAAUUCAGUAAACUAAUUUCGGCAAUAGAAGAAGAACGAGACAAUAUGCUGGAUCGCGCUCACGAGCAGAUAUUAUUACCGUUGGAAGAAUUUCGAAAAUUACACAUUGGUGGUGUGAAGGAAAACAAAAAAAAAUAUGACAAAAAAACUGCUAAGUUCUGUCAGGCCCAAGAAAGGUUUCUCAACAUGUCUACAAAAAAAUCUUCUCCGGCAGUUGUCGAGGCCGAUGCUUCUUUGGGAAUGUUGGAAAGAGAAUAUUUACGCGAAUCUUUGAGCUACGUUUUAAGCAUCCAAGAAGUGCAAGAACGAAUAAAAUUUGAAUUUGUGGAAAUAAUACUAAGAUUCAUAUCAGAUUGGCUUGUCUUCUACCACCUUGGACAUGAGGUUGCUGAAGAUGCCAAGGAAUAUUUAUCUGAUCUUCAACUAAAGGUUCAGAAAACUCGCGAAAAUUUUGAUGAAACUCGACAAAAAGCCCAGGAAUUGAAAAAUAAAUACAUGGACAGUAAAUUAAAACCCGACAGUGAAUACGCAAAGCAAGGUUAUCUGUAUCUAAUGGAAAAAAAAUUUACCGUCAUUACGUGGUCAAAAUUUUAUUGCACGUACAAAAAACAAACCAAGGAGUUUUCCAUGUUACAAUACAACCAAAUGUCCGGACGAGCACAACAAACCAUUCCCGAAACAUUAACGGUUGCUUCUUGCACAAAAAAGUUAUCAGAAUUUGAAAAACGUUAUUGUUUUGAUGUUACUUUUAAUGAAAAGAACACAAUUACAUAUACAUUCCAGGCACUCAGUGAAGAAGAUAUUAAAGCAUGGAUAGAUGCAAUGGAUGGCAAAGAAUCAAUCAAUUUAACAUUAUCAACGAAAUGUAGUGAAGAUAGCACGCUCGACGACGUAGGAUUUGCCUUUGUUAAAAAAUGCAUUGAUAUUCUUGAGCAACGAGGACUCGAGGAAGAGGGGUUAUAUCGUAUCGGUGGUGUUAGUACAAAAAUAAAUAAAUUGCUACAAGUAGGACUGGAUCGAAAGAAGAGUGAAAAAGAGCGUUUUAACUUUUCCCAAGAUGAACAAUUCGUGGGACAGGGUGAUAUUUUGGAAAGCAAAACAAUAGCAAGUGCUUUAAAACAGUAUCUCCGAAAUUUAGAUGAACCACUUAUGACAUAUCGUUUACACCAUGCCUUUAUAUCUGCUGCUAAACAAGAAACACGUCUGCAAAGAAUCAAUGAAGUACAUCAACUGGUAUACAAAUUACCAAAAAAUCGUUUGGAUAUGCUGGAUAUGGUCAUUCAACACUUAAAAGCGGUGUCAAUGAAUAGUGAUCGAAAUAAGAUGUCAGUUUUUAAUUUAGGAGUUGUAUUCGGCCCUACAUUGUUACGAGCUGCGGAAGAAACUGUGGCAGCAAUACUUGAUAUAAAAUUCAAUAACGUGGUCAUCGAGAUCUUGAUUGAAAAUUAUGAUAAAAUUUUCAAAAACACCCCUUUGUUGUUCACAGAAAAUGCAGUUGAUGUUCAUACACCAAUGCACAGUGGGCAACCACCAUACAAACGCCGGGAUGAAAAUCAAUUCCUCGUGCUAUUGCAAUUUAUCUUCAUUCAAUACAAUUGCUCUUACUAUACAGGGUAGUCCUAUACUAAAAUCGUCAAGACAGCGAAUAAAACUUAAUAAUUAUCGCUCACAACAUUGCAUUAUUGCGUAUCAGUUAACAGCAUCAAUAAUAAUUGUUAGGAAUUAAAACGAAGGCGGAAUAAGUUUCUGACUGAAAACGAAUUUUUAAAGUAUUAUGCACGAAAAAAGUUGUGUUUUUCAUGGUUUGUUUGGAAAAGAGCCGAUUCCUAUCUUACGACCUUUUUUAAACUGGUUUUCCUCUCUUCAGCUUUGUUUUCUGCCUGUUUGUUUCAAAUGCCCGUUUAUGACAGGUAGUUGGAUACUGGUGGUAUAUGGCUCGUACAACAACACGUUCACAACAACAAAAUCGUUCGCGCUAUUUUCAAGAAAAAGUUUAAUAAUUUUCGGGGUCGCAGAUGGUCGCAGCUAAUUUUAACGACAAUGCGUAGGAAAAUUGUUGAUCUUUCCAAUGAUAUACGACUCACGAGUGAAAUCGAGUCGAAUCAUAAAAAAAUCACUCUCCAAAAUAAAAAUAUCCAAAAAUUCAGCAGUGAUGUUUGGUUUUCAAUCAUUUAUGAACUUUAAAAACAAGUUUUUGCAAAAUAUUAAGACAUAACAUCAAAGUCUGACAAAAAACCUUUCCAACGACACAUUGAUUAUCAAAAUCUAACCACCAUAUACUAAAAUAUGAUGGUUUAUGUUCGGUCGAAAAAUAGCUCAAAGUUGGGACAAAAAACCCAAAGUUUACACUUUGAUGGCCUACAUCUCAGUAAGUUUAAGAUAAAAACGUGAAAUAUUUUGGUUUCAACUAAGUUUAAGUAUCUAUUUUAAGAAAAUGAUUAUGGUGUAAACCUGCGAUGAAGUUGGUUUUUCGAUUUUUAUACAGGCGUUUGCCCAAUGUGCAAUGGUAACACCCCAAUAGCAAUGUGCAUAUUGUAAUGAAAAAUGUAGUAUUGUACGUUUCAUAAAAAGAAUUUAAUUGAGCAAUUACAAAAAAAAUAUUGAAAUGGGUAAAUUACAACUACAUUGAGUGUGUAGCCUACCUUACUUUCUCAUUUUUUUCACUUGAUCCUUACUCCGUUUACCGCUGCCCGAUCGAUCAGUAUAGCGUUAUCUCGCUUUAUCCGCUGCAAAUCGCUGCUCGUGCUCUCACAGCACACUGCUGCACCGUCGCUCCUAUCCACUGCAAAUCGCUGCUCGCUCUCUCAUAGCUCACUGCUUCGCCGUCGCUCCUUCACCGCACGCUGUAUUGCCGUUUGAUAUCGGCUGCUCCGUUCUUCCUUCUUACAUCUCACAACAACGUUAUGUCUCUAUCAUGCAAACGACACUUGGUCACUUGUCGCAAAAGGUCAUGCCGGUUCAAACUGUGAUGCUUAUCGCCGAUGGUACGAAAUGUGGCUUACUCGUACGUGCGAUAAUCUUGUCCGAUCGAGGUCACUGCACUUAGAUUACUUUACGCACGGUACCGUUAACUAUCGCUGCGUUUUUUUUUCACCGAAUGUUUGCUAGCAUUCAUAAAACUUUUCCUGGCCUCUUUUUUAUAACCAGGAUACACUCUCUCUUUCACUGCACCUUGAUUGGUUGACGAUACACGACAGGAGUUAUUGUGCAAAUUUCGUGAGUUUUCAGGAAAUCCGUAUAUUUUAUCACUGCACCUCGUUUGAAUAACGAUAGUUCGAGUUAUCGUACAAUUGUAGCGUUGCGCUGCACUCUCGUCUUCACUCUCUCACUCUUUCACGCUAAACAUCAACGCAGAUACCAGUAUACUCUUCUGACCAGAAGGAAUAUUACGCACUCGCGAAUUAGCUUUCGUAUUUACGCGAGUUAUUUUUUUAUUAUUUUUUUUUUGCAUCACAGUUUCACACUUGUCAUGGCGACCGUGAUAUUAAAACUUCAAACUACCAAAAAAAUAUAUGACUUGUGGUUUUUUGUAGUUGCUUAGAGUUUUAUUGGUCGAUGUUCACUCGGGCAGCGUUUCCUCUUAGAUCGGACUUUUCUGAAUAAUCCUAAACCUCAACUUAUCCUUAAUUUAUAUUCACUCGUUCGCGCCAAAAUUCCUUAAUCCUAUUCCUCAUUGGCUAAUCCUAAUUAUCGCCUAUUUUACUAUUUCCUAUUUCCUAUCUUAUGCUAUUCUAUUCUAUCCUACGUGUAACCUUAAUUGUAGUUGUAUGUGUGUAAAUGUAUAUGUGCAUAAUUAAAAUCUAACUAUGUGUAUGUGUGUAAGUGUAUAUGUGUAUAAUUUAAACCUAGCUAGCUAUAAUUAUUCUCUGCGCGUUUUACCUAUCUUGCAGGCGCUACACUUGAAAGUAAUUUCACAAACAAUAUUGCAGAGCAGGCCCGCACCAUACCAUGCUGGCGCUGCACUGUGCACAAGCAAGAGCAGGAAGCUUGCUACCUACUAGCAGAGAGAAUGAACAAGUGUGCGACUUUCAGGUGAAGGGUAUGUUGAAGCAGGGAGAGACGGUGGGAAAUACGCGGAAAUACGUGGAGAUGAGAACGUGUUUUAGUUUGUACACGGAUUAUGCGCUAUCACAUUAACGCAAGUGGUGUUCACUUUCAACCAGCGCGAGUUAAAGUUUCGGACGUGGAAUAAACGUUGUUAACUAGGCAAAUGCCAAUUUCUGAAUAAAUUAAUUUAUUGUUUCACCAACAAAUGUUGGGUAUAUAAGAAAAAGGGAAGGUUUGGAGGGAAGUGUAUCAGACUGCACCGUCGUGUGGUCCAUCGUUCUCAAUGACUUGUGGCACGGUGCGUUGUCUUGGUGGAACAACACAACACAAAAGUUGCUUGACAAAAGACGCUCUGUCUCACAAAUUAAUUGACAUACCGACGUCAAAUUUUGACACGAAUCAUUUAAAGACCAAUGCACAGUGGGCAACCACCAUACAAACGCCGGGAUGAAAAUCAAUUCCUCGUGCUAUUGCAAUUUAUCUUCAUUCAAUACAAUUGCUCUUACUAUACAGGGUAGUCCUAUACUAAAAUCGUCAAGACAGCGAAUAAAACUUAAUAAUUAUCGCUCACAACAUUGCAUUAUUGCGUAUCAGUUAACAGCAUCAAUAAUAAUUGUUAGGAAUUAAAACGAAGGCGGAAUAAGUUUCUGACUGAAAACGAAUUUUUAAAGUAUUAUGCACGAAAAAAGUUGUGUUUUUCAUGGUUUGUUUGGAAAAGAGCCGAUUCCUAUCUUACGACCUUUUUUAAACUGGUUUUCCUCUCUUCAGCUUUGUUUUCUGCCUGUUUGUUUCAAAUGCCCGUUUAUGACAGGUAGUUGGAUACUGGUGGUGUAUGGCUCGUACAACAACACGUCAAAAUCGUUCGCGCUAUUUUCAAGAAAAAGUUUAAUAAUUUUCGGGGUCGCAGAUGGUCGCAGCUAAUUUUAACGACAAUGCGUAGGAAAAUUGUUGAUCUUUCCAAUGAUAUACGACUCACGAGUGAAAUCGAGUCGAAUCAUAAAAAAAUCACUCUCCAAAAUAAAAAUAUCCAAAAAUUCAGCAGUGAUGUUUGGUUUUCAAUCAUUUAUGAACUUUAAAAACAAGUUUUUGCAAAAUAUUAAGACAUAACAUCAAAGUCUCACAAAAAACCUUUCCAACGACACAUUGAUUAUCAAAAUCUAACCACCAUAUACUAAAAUAUGAUGGUUUAUGUUCGGUCGAAAAAUAGCUCAAAGUUGGGACAAAAAACCCAAAGUUUACACUUUGAUGGCCUACAUCUCAGUAAGUUUAAGAUAAAAACGUGAAAUAUUUUGGUUUCAACUAAGUUUAAGUAUCUAUUUUAAGAAAAUGAUUAUGGUGUAAACCUGCGAUGAAGUUGGUUUUUCGAUUUUUAUACAGGCGUUUGCCCAAUGUGCAAUGGUAACACCCCAAUAGCAAUGUGCAUAUUGUAAUGAAAAAUGUAGUAUUGUACGUUUCAUAAAAAGAAUUUAAUUGAGCAAUUACAAAAAAAAUAUUGAAAUGGGUAAAUUACAACUACAUUGAGUGUGUAGCCUACCUUACUUUCUCAUUUUUUUCACUUGAUCCUUACUCCGUUUACCGCUGCCCGAUCGAUCAGUAUAGCGUUAUCUCGCUUUAUCCGCUGCAAAUCGCUGCUCGUGCUCUCACAGCACACUGCUGCACCGUCGCUCCUAUCCACUGCAAAUCGCUGCUCGCUCUCUCAUAGCUCACUGCUUCGCCGUCGCUCCUUCACCGCACGCUGUAUUGCCGUUUGAUAUCGGCUGCUCCGUUCUUCCUUCUUACAUCUCACAACAACGUUAUGUCUCUAUCAUGCAAACGACACUUGGUCACUUGUCGCAAAAGGUCAUGCCGGUUCAAACUGUGAUGCUUAUCGCCGAUGGUACGAAAUGUGGCUUACUCGUACGUGCGAUAAUCUUGUCCGAUCGAGGUCACUGCACUUAGAUUACUUUACGCACGGUACCGUUAACUAUCGCUGCGUUUUUUUUUCACCGAAUGUUUGCUAGCAUUCAUAAAACUUUUCCUGGCCUCUUUUUUAUAACCAGGAUACACUCUCUCUUUCACUGCACCUUGAUUGGUUGACGAUACACGACAGGAGUUAUUGUGCAAAUUUCGUGAGUUUUCAGGAAAUCCGUAUAUUUUAUCACUGCACCUCGUUUGAAUAACGAUAGUUCGAGUUAUCGUACAAUUGUAGCGUUGCGCUGCACUCUCGUCUUCACUCUCUCACUCUUUCACGCUAAACAUCAACGCAGAUACCAGUAUACUCUUCUGACCAGAAGGAAUAUUACGCACUCGCGAAUUAGCUUUCGUAUUUACGCGAGUUAUUUUUUUAUUAUUUUUUUUUUGCAUCACAGUUUCACACUUGUCAUGGCGACCGUGAUAUUAAAACUUCAAACUACCAAAAAAAUAUAUGACUUGUGGUUUUUUGUAGUUGCUUAGAGUUUUAUUGGUCGAUGUUCACUCGGGCAGCGUUUCCUCUUAGAUCGGACUUUUCUGAAUAAUCCUAAACCUCAACUUAUCCUUAAUUUAUAUUCACUCGUUCGCGCCAAAAUUCCUUAAUCCUAUUCCUCAUUGGCUAAUCCUAAUUAUCGCCUAUUUUACUAUUUCCUAUUUCCUAUCUUAUGCUAUUCUAUUCUAUCCUACGUGUAACCUUAAUUGUAGUUGUAUGUGUGUAAAUGUAUAUGUGCAUAAUUAAAAUCUAACUAUGUGUAUGUGUGUAAGUGUAUAUGUGUAUAAUUUAAACCUAGCUAGCUAUAAUUAUUCUCUGCGCGUUUUACCUAUCUUGCAGGCGCUACACUUGAAAGUAAUUUCACAAACAAUAUUGCAGAGCAGGCCCGCACCAUACCAUGCUGGCGCUGCACUGUGCACAAGCAAGAGCAGGAAGCUUGCUACCUACUAGCAGAGAGAAUGAACAAGUGUGCGACUUUCAGGUGAAGGGUAUGUUGAAGCAGGGAGAGACGGUGGGAAAUACGCGGAAAUACGUGGAGAUGAGAACGUGUUUUAGUUUGUACACGGAUUAUGCGCUAUCACAUUAACGCAAGUGGUGUUCACUUUCAACCAGCGCGAGUUAAAGUUUCGGACGUGGAAUAAACGUUGUUAACUAGGCAAAUGCCAAUUUCUGAAUAAAUUAAUUUAUUGUUUCACCAACAAAUGUUGGGUAUAUAAGAAAAAGGGAAGGUUUGGAGGGAAGUGUAUCAGACUGCACCGUCGUGUGGUCCAUCGUUCUCAAUGACUUGUGGCACGGUGCGUUGUCUUGGUGGAACAACACAACACAAAAGUUGCUUGACAAAAGACGCUCUGUCUCACAAAUUAAUUGACAUACCGACGUCAAAUUUUGACACGAAUCAUUUAAAGACCAAUGCACAGUGGGCAACCACCAUACAAACGCCGGGAUGAAAAUCAAUUCCUCGUGCUAUUGCAAUUUAUCUUCAUUCAAUACAAUUGCUCUUACUAUACAGGGUAGUCCUAUACUAAAAUCGUCAAGACAGCGAAUAAAACUUAAUAAUUAUCGCUCACAACAUUGCAUUAUUGCGUAUCAGUUAACAGCAUCAAUAAUAAUUGUUAGGAAUUAAAACGAAGGCGGAAUAAGUUUCUGACUGAAAACGAAUUUUUAAAGUAUUAUGCACGAAAAAAGUUGUGUUUUUCAUGGUUUGUUUGGAAAAGAGCCGAUUCCUAUCUUACGACCUUUUUUAAACUGGUUUUCCUCUCUUCAGCUUUGUUUUCUGCCUGUUUGUUUCAAAUGCCCGUUUAUGACAGGUAGUUGGAUACUGGUGGUGUAUGGCUCGUACAACAACACGUCAAAAUCGUUCGCGCUAUUUUCAAGAAAAAGUUUAAUAAUUUUCGGGGUCGCAGAUGGUCGCAGCUAAUUUUAACGACAAUGCGUAGGAAAAUUGUUGAUCUUUCCAAUGAUAUACGACUCACGAGUGAAAUCGAGUCGAAUCAUAAAAAAAUCACUCUCCAAAAUAAAAAUAUCCAAAAAUUCAGCAGUGAUGUUUGGUUUUCAAUCAUUUAUGAACUUUAAAAACAAGUUUUUGCAAAAUAUUAAGACAUAACAUCAAAGUCUCACAAAAAACCUUUCCAACGACACAUUGAUUAUCAAAAUCUAACCACCAUAUACUAAAAUAUGAUGGUUUAUGUUCGGUCGAAAAAUAGCUCAAAGUUGGGACAAAAAACCCAAAGUUUACACUUUGAUGGCCUACAUCUCAGUAAGUUUAAGAUAAAAACGUGAAAUAUUUUGGUUUCAACUAAGUUUAAGUAUCUAUUUUAAGAAAAUGAUUAUGGUGUAAACCUGCGAUGAAGUUGGUUUUUCGAUUUUUAUACAGGCGUUUGCCUAAUGUGCAAUGGUAACACCCCAAUAGCAAUGUGCAUAUUGUAAUGAAAAAUGUAGUAUUGUACGUUUCAUAAAAAGAAUUUAAUUGAGCAAUUACAAAAAAAAUAUUGAAAUGGGUAAAUUACAACUA